UAAUUGAAGAGUUUGAUCAUGGCUCAGAUUGAACGCUGGCGGCAGGCCUAACACAUGCAAGUCGAGCGGAAACGAAGAGGUGCUUGCACCUCUGGCGUCGAGCGGCGGACGGGUGAG
rnacentral:rRNA from 1 species